rnacentral:rRNA from 1 species
AACGAACGCUGGCGGCAGGCUUAACACAUGCAAGUCGAACGCAUCCUUCGGGGUGAGUGGCAGACGGGUGAGUAACGCGUGGGAACGUGCCCUUCAGUUCGGGAUAACCCAGGGAAACUUGGGCUAAUACCGGAUACGUGCGAGAGCAGAAAGAUUUAUCGCUGAAGGAUCGGCCCGCGUCUGAUUAGCUAGUUGGUGGGGUAAUGGCCCACCAAGGCGACGAUCAGUAGCUGGUCUGAGAGGAUGAUCAGCCACAUUGGGACUGAGACACGGCCCAAACUCCUACGGGAGGCAGCAGUGGGGAAUAUUGGACAAUGGGCGCAAGCCUGAUCCAGCCAUGCCGCGUGAGUGAUGAGGGCCUUAGGGUUGUAAAGCUCUUUCGUCCGGGACGAUAAUGACGGUACCGGAAGAAGAAGCCUCGGCUAACUUCGUGCCAGCAGCCGCCGCAG